rnacentral:rRNA from 1 species
CCCCUAUGGCCGGCAGCCUUAACAUGCAGUCGAACGGCAGCGCGGGGCAACCUGGCGGCGAGUGGCGAACGGGUGAGUAAUAUAUCGGAACGUGCCCUGGAGUGGGGGAUAACGCAGCGAAAGUUGCGCUAAUACCGCAUACGAUCUAAGGAUGAAAGCGGGGGAUUCGCAAGAACCUCGUGCUCCUGGAGCGGCCGAUAUCUGAUUAGCUAGUUGGUGGGGUAAAGGCCUACCAAGGCAUCGAUCAGUAGCUGGUCUGAGAGGACGACCAGCCACACUGGAACUGAGACACGGUCCAGACUCCUACGGGAGGCAGCAGUGGGGAAUUUUGGACAAUGGGCGAAAGCCUGAUCCAGCAAUGCCGCGUGAGUGAAGAAGGCCUUCGGGUUGUAAAGCUCUUUUGUCAGGGAAGAAACGGUGCGGGCUAAUAUCCCGCACUAAUGACGGUACCUGAAGAAUAAGCACCGGCUAACUACGUGCCAGCAGCCGCGGUAAUACGUAGGGUGCAAGCGUUAAUCGGAAUUACUGGGCGUAAAGCGUGCGCAGGCGGUUUUGUAAGUCUGUCGUGAAAUCCCCGGGCUCAACCUGGGAAUUGCGAUGGAGACUGCAAGGCUAGAAUCUGGCAGAGGGGGGUAGAAUUCCACGUGUAGCAGUGAAAUGCGUAGAGAUGUGGAGGAACACCGAUGGCGAAGGCAGCCCCCUGGGUCAAGAUUGACGCUCAUGCACGAAGCGUGGGGAGCAAACAGGAUUAGAUACCCUGGUAGUCCACGCCCUAAACGAUGUCUACUAGUUGUCGGGUUUUAAUUAACUUGGUAACGCAGCUAACGCGUGAAGUAGACCGCCUGGGGAGUACGGUCGCAAGAUUAAAACUCAAAGGAAUUGACGGGGACCCGCACAAGCGGUGGAUGAUGUGGAUUAAUUCGAUGCAACGCGAAAAACCUUACCUACCCUUGACAUGUACGGAAGCCACGAGAGAUCGAGUGUGCUCGAAAGAGAGCCGUAACACAGGUGCUGCAUGGCCUGUCGUCAGCUCGUGUCGUGAGAUGUUGGGUUAAGUCCCGCAACGAGCGCACCCUUGUCAUAGUGCUACGAAAGAGCACUCUAUGAGACUGCCGGUGACGACCGGAGAGGUUGGGAUGACGUCCAGUCCCUCAUGACCCUAUGGUAAGGCUUUCACACGUCAUACAUGGUACAUACGGAGGACGACUAACUCGCAAGGGGGGAGCCUAUAUCUCGG